rnacentral:rRNA from 1 species
ACGGGUGAGUAACGCGUAAUCAACCUGCCCUUCAGAGGGGGAUAACAACGGGAAACCGUUGCUAAUACCGCGUACGAUUCACAGGCGGCAUCGCUUGUGAAUGAAAGGUGGCCUCUAUGUAUAAGCUAUCGCUGAAGGAGGGGAUUGCGUCUGAUUAGCUAGUUGGAGGGGUAACGGCCCACCAAGGCGAUGAUCAGUAGCCGGUCUGAGAGGAUGAACGGCCACAUUGGGACUGAGACACGGCCCAGACUCCUACGGGAGGCAGCAGUGGGGAAUCUUCCGCAAUGGACGAAAGUCUGACGGAGCAACGCCGCGUGAGUGAUGACGGCCUUCGGGUUGUAAAGCUCUGUUAAUCGGGACGAAAGGCCUUCUUGCGAAUAGUGAGAAGGAUUGACGGUACCGGAAUAGAAAGCCACGGCUAACUACGUGCCAGCAGCCGCGGUAAUACGUAGGUGGCAAGCGUUGUCCGGAAUUAUUGGGCGUAAAGCGCGCGCAGGCGGAUCGGUCAGUCUGUCUUAAAAGUUCGGGGCUUAACCCCGUGAUGGGAUGGAAACUGCCAAUCUAGAGUAUCGGAGAGGAAAGUGGAAUUCCUAGUGUAGCGGUGAAAUGCGUAGAUAUUAGGAAGAACACCAGUGGCGAACGCGACUUUCUGGACGAAAACUGACGCUGAGGCGCGAAAGCCAGGGGAGCGAACGGGAUUAGAUACCCCGGUAGUCCUGCCGUAAAC